rnacentral:rRNA from 1 species
CAGUAGCCGCGGUAAAACGUAGGGUGCAGGCGUUAAUCGGAAUUACUGGGCGUAAAGCGUGCGCAGGCGGUUUGUUAAGACAGAUGUGAAAUCCCCGGGCUCAACCUGGGAACUGCAUUUGUGACUGGCAAGCUAGAGUGUGGCAGAGGGGGGUGGAAUUCCGCGUGUAGCAGCGAAAUGCGUAGAUAUGCGGAGGAACACCGAUGGCGAAGGCAGCCCCCUGGGCCAACACUGACGCUCAUGCGCGAAAGCGUGGGGAGCAAACAGGAUUAGAUACCCGAUAGUCCCUGUCUCUUAUACA